UCAUAAUAAGUAAGUUAUUUCAUUUUAGAUAUAAUCAUAGUUGGCUAAAAUUUUCAGUUACGAGUUUGGUUAAAAAUAGACAAGCUUACAUUAUUAUUUAAUGAUAAGAAGUAAUUUAUUUAAUUUUAGACAUCAACGUAGUUAAAAUUAAAUAACUCACUAUGAUGCAUGUAACCGUGCUACCUAUAUAUUGGUAAAUAAGCACAGCUCAUUAAUUAACAAUUGAGUGGGCGAAUACUAUUUAUAUCCGAGUAACUUGAUAAAAAAUAAACAAGGAAUCGGCUACAUAGCCUGAGAUUUCGGCCAUUUCUCCCAAAUCAUAGUCGCGUGACGGACGUGUCUGUUGAAGCUCCGCCUGAGGCGGAGGUCUUCACCUCUAUCUCCAAGCUUACGUUUACCAGACGGACUAACUAAUAAGAAAGAUGAAGAAGACAAACUGUUAAGGCUUCAAAAUUACGCUUAGGCCUUGGACAGCUGUAGAACAAAGGUGUGAAGAGACCACAGAGACAAGGAUAAUUGCUUCAAAAGAGUUAUCCAUAGCUCAAUACUUCAAUGAAUAUGCCGCUCUUAAAAAACCGAAAGGAUAUGUCCUGGUUCAGAGGAGACAUCAAACAUAGCCUGUUUGCUGUUCAUAACACCGUCCACCACCCUUAGCUGUCAAGCAUUCGGCUGAAGAACGCAGCAAAAAAGAUUUGGCGAUUUCAAAAGCAGAGACAACGGCCAGUUUUAUUCUUCAUGUCAAAAGUUACUCCGAUAUCUGUACUAUAGUAACAAGUAAGCUAACAAAAUUUCUAUAGUAUGGGCUCACUGUCACCUUUUAUAAUUAUUGUCGGUGAAUCCAUUGAUGCAUGGAUGUUUAAAUUGUAUUCUUAAGUUACUUCUCAUCAAGCAAAAUAUUGUCUAAUAUUACUUUAAUGUGUAAAUUACAUUAGGUACGAUAUAUUCCUGAUAUGACCUACGCAUCAAAGAUAUCGAUGAUCAUAGAUAUUGAAUUUUUUUUACUAAAAUAACUUUAACUAAAAUAACUUUAAUUUUUUUUGGUGUAAAAACUUUUUAGUGUGUAGCAUUUAUGAUCAUUUUCCCGAUGACGAAUGUGAAUUAUGUUUGAUUUAGAUCUCUUUAAAAGUUUAUAUGACGGUAUUAUUGGGUUGUAUAAAAGUUAGGUCAUUACAUACCUAUUCUCUUAGCUUAUUCUAUAUUUUUUAUCUUAUCUUCUGGCUAAUUAACUAAAAGUAUAAAUUUAGGUAAAGUAACUUGCUAACAUUACAAUAACUGUCAUUUGUUUUUUAUGUAAACAAUGUAUUAACAAACACAGUUUCUUGAUAUUGUGUACUAGUUUUAAGAUUAAUUCUUAUAACAGAGUAGUUUGUUACCUGAAAUGACUGUAUGGUGUACUGAAUAAAGCUAAUUUUGUAUGUA